AGAACGUUCAAGCUGCCGUUAAGAAGCUAGACUGUGGCAAUGAUGAAGCAGCAAAAGAGUUUAAGAAAUUGCAGUGUGAGGUUGAGAUAUUGAGCAAGAUUCAGCACCCAAAUAUAAUCUCCUUAUUAUAGCACGAAUGAUACCGCAAGGUUCAUCGUCUAUGAGCUGAUGCCAAAUGUCUCUCUGAAAUCUUACUUGCACGGCUCAGGAUCUUCUCGGGGUUCAGCGAUCACAAUCACAUGGUCUAUGAGUAUGAAGAUUGCCCUUGAUAUAUCGAGGGGACUAGAAUAUUUACAUGAAGGUUGUCAUCCAGAUCAUUCACAGAGACUUGAAAUCUUCCAACAUAUUUUUGGA